GCCAACUAAUCUGAUUUUCUUUCUUGCUUCGAGUGCUACAUCAAGUGAAUAAAAAGUUAAGAAAAAUACCAACGCUAAAUAGACCAUCAAAUACACAACAACUAAAUAGUUAAAAAGCUCGAAAAUGCCAAGACAUAAUUAAAUAGAUAUCCAAAGAGAUGACAAUAAGAUGCGCCAACUAAUCUGAUUUUCUUUCUUGCUUCGAGUGCUGCAUCAAGCGAAUAAAAAGUUAAGAAAAACACCAACGCUAAAUAGAUCAUCAAAUACACAACUAAAUAGUUAAAAAUAGAUAAUAAUUUAUCUCAAUAAAUUUUUCAAUAAAGUUUGAACCUGAUUCUUGAUGUGUAUGUAAUAAAAACCUAUAAUUUAUUUCAAGGCGUUUCAAUAGCGAAGAAAAGAAAAAACGGAGCAAAAAAUAGAAGAAAAGUAGUGUUGGCUGCGGCAAAAAAAUUUAUCAUUGGAACUUCUGAAUUUAUAGCUAAAAAUGUUGGUUAUAAAAUUUUCAUUGUUAAACCCAAACCCUAAAAAAACUUGGGUGAUUAUUGAUCGAAAGGUAAAUCUUUUCCAAAUUUGAUUUUUCUAAAACUCAGCACUAAUCAUAAUCAAAUCAAACGUAAUAUUUCCUAACAUAAUAAGUUUCAAUUGUUAAACGUAAACCCUAAAAAUUGGCUGAUUAUUGAUCGAGAGAUAAAUCUUUCCAAAAUUUUAUCUUUCUAAAAUUGAGCACUAAUCAUAGUCAAAUGUAAUCUUUCCUAAUACAAUACUUACCAUGGCGAAUCGCGGCGGAGGCAGGGGAAUGUCUAGUGUGAGAGACGGGCAGGGGGGAACGGGAACAGGCCGUACCGGAGGAAGGAGCGGCGGUGCUGAUGUCUGGUGUGAGAGACGGGGAGGGGGAACGGGAACAUGCCGUACUGGAGGAAGGAGCGGCUGUGCCGAUGUCUGGUGUGAGAGACGGAGGGGGAACGAGAACAAGCCGUACUGGAGGAAGGAGCGGCGGUGCCAACUUGAGGCUGGCGUGCAGACCCGGCGGAGUACAGCGAAUGAAUCCUCGAGGUUUUUACAGGUGCUGGAAAGGAUUUCAAAUCUUGCGCGAAUGAAAAUGAGGAAAACGAAGAGGCGGCAAUUUCGAUAGCUUUUGGAGAAUCUAGGUAGUGGAGAAAGGGAGUUGGCUUCAGAGUGUAGAACGCUGCCUAAUGCUCUAGGGAACUCAAGGAAGUAUGUGAUUUGUGUAUUUGCUAAUUCCUGAAUCAGGUAUCUGAUCCUUUCUUCUUAAAUGCCUUUGGAUUAAUGUGAACGGCGUGUGUUGGAAAAUAGUCUUUGCUUUAAGUACCGUGGAUCCAGGAUUUGUCGAUAGGGUGCUGAACUUGUUGAGGUAUGGGGCUGAAGCCUGAAGAUACCUGCACAAAGCACAAUGUAGAGGCAACCUCUAAGCCAAAUUUUUCUGGACAGUCAGCAGCACAGUUCGUUUUUUUGGUCCAAAUAGAAUCUUAAUGUUUUUAGGAUUAUGGCUCAAACACUUACUAUAAUAAAUACUCCCUCUGUCCCGUUCACUUUGCAUGCAUUCCUUUUUUGGGCUGUCUCAUUCGAUUUGGCCUAAUCCAUUUUUGGCAAAACUAAGGAUCACUAAUUACACAGCAAAAGCCUAAUGAUAGGUCAUAACACUUAAUACAAUAAACACUCGCUCUUAAAUAAUCGUACCAAGAAUAACUAGGCCAUGUUCCAUUGAUUCAACAAUAGGUGCAUUGAAAGUACAGAAAGAGCCACCUCUAUACGUUUUUUUUAAAGAAAUUGUUUAAUCUUCUACAAAAAUAAACUAAUUUUCAUUAUUAAUUGUUCAUAAUCUUAUUUUAACUAGGAGCAGCAUUGAAAAUUAACUAAGAAAGGGGAAAAAAUACAAAAAUAACACAAAUUUAACAAACUAAUAUAGCAAAUCACUGUUAAACGUAAGCAAUUAUUAUGGGUUCUAUAAUUAUUAAACCAAUGUAUUAUGUUCUAUCUUCUCAUCUUAUUUCUUAUAUAUAAAAUUGGGAGGGGACUUCAGCCCUCCGGCUUUUAGUGUCAAAAUAGUGUAAUUGCAUCUGCAUGGACUGGUUUUGUUCUUUUAAGGAGUUUGUGUUUGGCUAUGGCUUAUCAUGGUUGAGUUGUGGCUGGAAUUCUUGAACUAGAAGAAUUCAAUAUCUUAUAUUGUCUUCCCUUUAGAACUACAGUUUAAGUGAAAAGUGGCUAUGGGAAGAAUUUGUGCUAGACAGUUCACUUUUAGCGAACCUCGCUCUCGAUGUUAGAAAUUAUAUGCUAGAUACGUCUCUUGAGCAACUGACCACUUGAAAUUCCUAAGGAAAUCAAUGAGAUGCAUUUUUUGGACUUGACUGCUCAUAUGGAGGAAUAGAAACCUGAAAUGAGGGUCAACUGAAUUAAAACAAAUUGAAUCUUUUUAAAAAUGAUAGGUUGGCACUCUAUGUUUCCUUUAAGAAGUCUUGUCCUUUCGUCAUUAUUUGGAGAGUUCUUGCACUUUUAUCUUGAGAUUUCUGAUAUUCAUAUGAAUAUAUGCACUUCCAUAAUGAAGAUAUGUAAAAUUUUAACUCUUGGGUAGGGUCACAUAAAGGAUUAAAAAAGAUUAUGUGUGGGAAUGAAAAAAAGAUGUAGUUUGCUAUUUUAUAAACAUUUUAAUAUUAUUCUUUAUUUAUCUUACAUUAGUUCAUGAAGAGUCUCUGCUUGAUGGACUUAAUCCAAAUAAUAUGCUCUUUAUGUAUGGAAAGAUAAAAGUUGGUAUCAUAAGAAAAAAAAAAGCACACCAGUUUUUAAGAUAUUAAGAUACUUGUUAAAGUUACAUCUAACAUUGUUGAUGCAAGUCAAAUAUAUUAUAUUUCCAUCAAGAUCAACUACAUAUAUUAUAUUUCCAUCAAGGUCAACUAGUUUUGGUCAUAAAUUACCAUAUUCAUUAUGUUUAUCUUUCUUGAGUUUCCACUUUCCUACAUUUUUUAUAAGUGGUCUUUCUAAGUGAUUCUUUUAUCUAGAAAACUUUAGAAAAUUUCUACAAGUUGUCUACACGUUGAUGAAUUCCUACUUUAAUUCUGAAAACUUUCACUGGUUCUCAGUCUUUAUGGAUAGUUUAAGAAGGGACAAAUGAAUGCUCUUAUAAAUUGCUGCACUUGUUGGCUAAUCUGAAAUUCAUAUGUUGGAGUUUGUUUGAGGUAUUCACUAGCACUCUUAUUUUCUCAAAUUAGGUUGUGAAGUUAUAUGGAUUGAAGGGAUACCUAUUGACAACUUAAGCCACUAGUCUGUAAAGGUUUCUUAUACAAUGAAUUUCAUUAAGGCAUGUGCAUUCAGUACUUUUUAUAUGAUUAGUAAUUAUGAGAAGGUAUUUGAUAAGAUUAGUGGUUUACUGAAUAAUCUAAACUAAUUAUAUAUUUUACACUAACCAAAACUAAAACUCACAAGAUAUAUUACAAUAAGUCAGUAACUAACAAAAAAUCAUAUAAUUUUAAUAUUGGAGAUGUACAAUAAUGAACAUGAUUUCAAUAUGAUAAAAUUACAUACACAUGUAGAAUGCCUAUGUGUUUUUGGUGCACAAAUAAUUUGUUGUUUUUUGUAAUUGUAUAUUAUCAUAAGUUAAUAACAUUAAACAUAAUUAAAACAUAUUAAAUAAGAUUAUUGAAGAAUAAUAAAGUGAAGGCAAAAAGUUAAAACAUGAUACUAAGGGGGUGUUUACUUUGGAGAAUUAGCCUUGAUAGAUAAAAAUAGUAAGGCUAAUCCCUUGUUUACUUUGAUGGAUUAAAACUUUUGGAUAUCCCAAGGCCCUUGAUUAUUUCUAUCAUUUAAGCUAGUUUGCUUGACUCCUAUCCCAUUGAAAGGGUUGGAUUGGAAGAAGUCUUACUCUAGGAUAAAAAUACUCAAUCAUGCAUCUAACCCUAAGGUUGAAAUGAGUGUCAUUUACCAUUUACUCCCUUCGUCCCACUAAGCAUGGCUCCUUACUUUUGACACGGUUAUUAAGAAGAAGAGUAGUUAAAGGAGAAAAGUGAUAGAAAGUGGUGGAGCCCACAACUUUUUGUGAGAUAAAGAGAUUUCCUUUUUUGGAAAGUGCUAUUUGUAAUGGGACAACCCAAAAUGGCAAGGGGGCCAUAUUAAAUGGGACGGAGGGAGUAUUAUAUAUAUCGUUAAUAAAAAGGUUGAAUAUAUAUUAUAUAUUCAGUACUUCAAUUUUCCUAGGCCCUGAGACGACCGACCUCAAUUGCCUCAUGGACAAGCUGGCAUGGCUGAUGGACUUAAUCCAAAUAAUUUUCUCUUUAUGUGUGGAUAAAAAGUUGUCAUCAUUUUGGAAAAAAAAAAAUGCACAAAAGUUUUUGAAUUCCUAAGAUAUUUCUUAAGUGAUUCAGUUAAUGAUUCCUACUUUAAUUCUAAAUACAGGUUCUCAGUCUUUACAAAUGGUUUAAAUAGGGGGAAAUUAAUCUCCUGUAAAUUGCUAGUUGUUUCUAGAAUUGCUGAUAAUCUGAAAGUGACCUCAUAUCUUUUUCUCAUUUUCUGAAGUGUUUUCUGGUUAUCUAUUUUUCUCAAAUUAGGUUAGGAUUUAUAUGGAUUGACUUACCUAUAAAUUAAUUUCCGAUUACUAGAGUUAUAUUGUCUAUAGUAUUUUGUUUUUGUGUUGCCAUUUUGUUGUUUAGUUAAUAAUGCUAUGAAAGGGAUGUUAACUAAUCAGCAAAUUAUCUACGUGACCCAGAUUGAAAAGCUAAAGCUUAUAGAUUCAUUCAAUGUUGGAAAGGUUUUUUAUUUCAUUAAAGCAUUUCAAUUAUGUUAUGUAUUUUUACAUGACUUGUAAUUAUGAAUAAUUUGCAUUAUUGGUUACUGGAUGCCAUGUUUUAUAUAAGUGAUGAAAUUCCAAACUGUAGCAAAUACUGGCAUCAUCAUCAUCACAUACUAUGAUCUCUGUCUCUCACUCGUCAUGGCGCACACUAACAUGCUGUGUCUAACCUGUAGUAGAAAAGAUUUUCUAGAAACUUUUGUGCGAUUCUUACAUCCUCCAUGUACUUUAAUGCAAAGUUGCAAACCAUUGCUGAUGUAUAUUUUUCUUGUUGAUUAUGUAACCUACAACCACACUUCUAGUUAGAUCUAAAUCCAAAUUCUUUUUGCACUGUUACAAUAUUCUCUCUCGAGAUAAAAUGCUUCACCCAAGUUCCCCUAUAUUUUCAAUAGAGCUUAGCUUCAUUCAAAGCAUUAGAAACUGUUGGUUCCAAACCGUGGUGUAGUUCAGCACUGAUGGACUUGUUAGAUACUCUCUUGCAAUUUUGUUUAAGCUAGGUAUUUCAUUUAUUAAUCUUGGAGCUGUGAUUGCAUCUUGCUAGAAGACUCUAGAGUAUCAGAACCUGGUUUCAGUUAUAUCUAAUAUGAUGUUAAAUUUUGCUCAUAUCCUUCACCAAAAUAGGAGCAAUAGUAGCUUGCAAAUAGUAAAGAAAUGCUUUAAAUUUAAACCUAUCAAAGGCAUUUAGGGCUUCAAGUUCACCUGUGAUGAUAAUAAUGAUGGUGGUGAUAUUAUCAUGUAGAUGAUAAAAGCAACAAAGGUGAUUAUGAUAAUAUGUCAUCACUAUCAGAUUUUCUAAUCCGCUCCAGCAAAGAUCAUUAAUCUUUUUAGAAGGGGCUUCUGCUUCUAAUUUCUAAUUACAAGGCAGUAUAUUUCUGAAAAAAUCAUAAUGUCCCUUAACCCAGUUAAAUGAAAGUAUGUACUUUAGUGUAAAUUUAGUGAUUUUCCCUUAUCCCAUAUGGCCAUGUGAAUGGAAGUUCGUUGUGUUAGAUUUAGAGGGUGUUUGGCUGAGCUUAUAAGCUCCUCAAAACAGCUUAUAAGUUAUUUAGGAGUUUAUAAGCUCAUUCCAAGUGUUUGGUAAAAUAAGUUCCCAAAUAGCUUAUAAACUCAAAAAAUAAGCUCCAAGAGCUUAUAAGCUCCCAAAAAAGUAAGUUCCUCUACCCCAACUUAUUUGUUUAUAAUCUCAUAUGCAAUAAUCAUUUUACAAUUAUUUUUCAACUAUAAUUUAUUAUUUUCAUCAUAUAUCAUUCAAGUUCAUUUUUCUUCGAUUUUCUCUUUCUAAUUUUUUUUUUCUCUCUAGCAAAAAACUCUCUCUAGCUUAUAAGCUUAAUUAUCCAAACACUUUGAUAACUUAUAAGCUCUUAAAAAUUACAUCUUAUAAGCUCCAAGAGCUUAUAAGCUCUUUAAAAUAAGCUUAGCCAAACACCCUCUUUAGUGACUGCUGUCAGAACAAUAGAGUGCUUAGUGAAAUUCUUAAAUGGUGAUCCACAUAGAGCAUUUAAGAUGCAAACUACAUAUCUUAUCCUUGUGAAAUAUUUUGAUGAAUAUUCUUUUUAAGUGAUCAACCUCUUCGCUGGGAAAUAGAAAAUAUCUCCGUCGCACAAUUGUACUGAAAAUCUGGCACCAUCUUUUUAAAGUCCUUGAAUCCAUCUAUUCCAGAAAUACUGAGAAUCCUUUAUAUAAGCCAUGAUUGAAGCAGGCCACUCAGACAAAAGUUGUUCAUAGAGUAAAUACCUUACUGUUACUGAUUAGGAUGGGUGGUGCUUCUCUUGUAAAACAUCUCAAAGAUUGUACAUAAAAAUUAAUAAACCAUGUUAGCUUGAGUUGAUUCUAACAUCAUUCUCAACACUGCUUUUAACUAUUAAGAUAAGCUGUAGGAUACCAGGAUUUAUUCCUGGAGGCGAAAAAAAUUAUAAUUUCCACAGGAAUUUGCUGCCCAUUACCUGAUGUAACUAUUAUGCCAUGGAAUCUCAUGCAAUUUGCACCAUGAGCUGGAGACUACGAGAGGGGCUCAACAACACCAGAGGAUGCCAGAUAUCAACUGUCGACCUUUUUAUCUCUUAGUAAUUAUAUUUAAUCAAUCCUUGUUGCCUUUAUUAACAUACAUUGCCUAGGUGGCGGAAUUUACAAAUUAUUCUUACACUGUAUAUUGAUGUUUUGUUUACUGAAAUUAUGCAUAUUGCGAUGCUUAAAUUCUUCAUGCACUCUGAUGAAGAAUAUAAUAGUGGGUCAGUGGGUGAAUGUCAAUUUUUGGUGGACUCAA